rnacentral:siRNA from 1 species
AUAGGUAUCUGUAGUUGGAUCUA